UAGAAAACAGUCAAAAGUUUUAUUUAUCAUAAACACUUGCGGCCUUUUCGAAAGUCAAACACAGCCUCUGUCUUCUUCGGCGUAAAUUCCCAGACAGCAGAUCGUCCUUCCUUCUCCUCCAAAUUCCCGGGUUCGGUUCCAUCCAGAUGGAUUCGGGUCUCAGUGAUUGGGUCAAGUACUUGGAGGAGGAGUCAUACCCAGUUCCCAGAGACUUCUUGGUCCUUCCCUUGUUUGUUCUCCUCUUCCCUACACUUAGGCUCUUCCUUGAUAAAUUCGUCUUUGAGAGAUUAGCAAGAUGGCUUAUUUUUGGAAAGGGACAGAAGAAAGUUGAGACACAUGAUGAGCGGAAAAAAAUUACUAAAUUUAAAGAGUCGGCAUGGAAAUGCCUAUACUUUUUUUCCGCAGAGGCUUUGGCCGUUUCCAUAACAUACAAUGAGCCUUGGUUCUCAAAAACAAAAAACUUUUGGGUAGGGCCUGGCGAUCAGGUUUGGCCCGACCAGAAAACGAAAUUAAAAUUGAAGGCACUCUACAUGUAUUCUGCUGGGUUUUACAUGUACUCCAGCUUUGCUUUGGUGUUUUGGGAAACAAGGCGUUCCGACUUUUGGGUAUCAAUGGCUCAUCAUGUAGCAACAACAAUAUUGAUUGUGUUCUCUUACACAGCGAGGUUUUCCCGAGUUGGUUCAAUCAUUUUAGCCCUCCAUGAAGGAUCUGAUGUGUUUUUAGAAAUUGCGAAACUGUCAAAAUAUUGUGGCUUAGAACUGAUUGCCAGCGUUUCUUUUGUUAUGUUUGUUCUUUCUUGGACAGUUCUACGUCUUAUUUACUUUCCCUUCUGGAUAAUUUGGAGUACCUGCUAUGAAUCUCUUUUGAAUUUGGACAAGGAAAAGCACAUGGUGGAUGGAUCUAUAUACUAUUACUUGUUUAAUACUCUUCUAAUUUGCUUGCUCAUUCUUCAUAUUUAUUGGUGGAAGUUGAUGGUUUGGAUGCUCAUAAAGCAAAUCCGCUCAUGGGGGAAACUUGAUGAUGAUGUUCGAUCUGAUUCCGAAGGUGAUGAUGAUGAACACGAUGAUUGACAAUAAGAAGAUAGUCUUAAACGUGAGGCACCUCUGUAUUCUCAAGGUUAUAGUGAAACAAUAAUCACCAUGCUUUCUAGCCUAUUUAAGCAAUCUAUAGUGUUUUAUUUCUUUCUCCAUGCAGAUUGAAUAUUUAUACAGGCAAGUGUGUAUAUCCAGAUUAUAUCCAAAAUUCAUACAUACACAGGUAGGAUGAGGCAGAGAAACUUAAUUCAUUAUUCAUUGUCCAAGCUUUGGGAAGCAUAACAAACAGCCACCAAAAAUAUUGGUUAUAGAACAUUACUAUUGCUUGAGGUGUCACUGAGCCUGUAUUACAUUGUUAUUGUUGGUGUAAAUUACAAUAUUUUAUCCUUAUUCAUACUAUUCGAGAAAGGUGAAUCACUUAUAAACAUAGACAAUGGAGGGCUUUGGCCUGAUUUUUAUUUCACUCUUC